AUCGUUCAAUCUGUAUUAACAGAUCGGAAGUAGGCUGCAGCUGAAGGAACGCGGA
rnacentral:ncRNA from 10 species